rnacentral:tRNA from 1 species
UAGCUCAGUUGGUAGAGUGCUUGUCUAGCAUGCAUGAGGCCCUGGGUUAAAUCCCCAG